GCUGGGUAGGCCCGUGUUGUAGUGCAGCUUCAGACUCUCCAGUGGAGGCCGGGAUGACCCCCACCGGCCCAAAGGGGGGGGAAACGGGGCUGGUCACCGCACCAAAGAGAAGGUGUGUGGCAUCAGAAGGGAGGGGGAGAGCGGGACAGCGGCCGUCUGCACCGCUUCUCCUCCGAGUAGGCCGCAAACUCCAAAGCCUUAGAUCACCCCUGCGGGCUCCAAAACUCCCGAUCUCAGAGUCCACUGCGAUGUCCA